CAGUCUGCACUUGUGAUUUAUACAUUUGCAACUACCCUUAAGAUCAUCAGGCUCAACGCAAAGAUGCUUUGUGAAAAAGAAGGAUGUGGGAAACGAAACUAUGUUCAACAUAUGAUAAAGAAACUUCCAUCUGUUUUCACAAUUGCACUUGAGUGGGAGAACAAUGAGACUGGAAAAGAGAUAUUCGAUACAAUUUCUGUCCUGGCGACUAAGAUAGAUAUUCGUAAGAUAUACAAAUACGAAGGAGACAGUCCAUUCACCAAAUACCGUCUCGUCUCAAUGGAAAAGGCCAAGUAUCUUAUUUGUUUCAGUUCCAUUUAAGUUUUCUAUGUUACUAGAAACAACUCCAAAUAUUAAUAUUCAGGUUUGAUCGCAUGAAAUAUCUAUACAACUGUAUAGCUUAUGAAAAUAAUACAUGGGUCAGACAUUACUGUUCUGAGAUAGAUGUAAUAUAACAGGUUUGCUCGCAUGGAGAUGGAUACAACUGUGUAGCUUAUGAAAACAAUGGAUGGGUCAGACAUUUUUGUUCUGAGAAAGAGGUAAAAGAGCUUAGACUUUUAUGGUGAAAGACGAGCAAGUUACUCGAUCUGUGACUGAGUGAUGUAUGUUGGCUGUCAAGAUUAUUGGAGACUGGGAUGGUGUUCUCAAAAAAUUCCGAGAACUGUAUAUUCGACCUGAGAUUCUAUUUUUUGAAAACACUAGGCAAGAGGGGGACUAGAAGUUUUCCGCGCUGGGAUCUGAUGAUUAAGUGAGUGGAUUCCAAUGGUGCAGGAAAGGGAUUGAUGUAUAUACAAUGUGUUCUGAGUCUAAGUCAAAGCCUUUAUAGGAGUACGUAGAACAAUGUUUUGGUGUUGUUAGACAACUCACAACUGUGAACAGACUUGUCUGUUUUUUUG